CGUAAAAAAGAGACGUCUCUCGUUUCGUAGCAUUCGCCAGAGCCGCUCACACUGGUGAAUUUAACCACCUCCUCCAGCAGCGUCACCGGGAUACGGCCACUUCAAACGGUACUUCAAGCGGAACCACCGCGAGUUGGACGACCUGUUGGUCUGGAUCAGUGGCUGAAUACAGGACAUCAAGUGCCCGCGGUCUGUCCUCGGUAUUCGGUAACAGGACACCUGCUUCCAUGUUGGUGUGACCGUCCAUUUCCAGGAGCUGACCAGAGGACUCCAGCCACAGACCACACAUGUUUUUGUUGUCCCCGGAGGGACGGGGGUCAAGAGAGGCGGACCCUAACCCUAACUGUGGCUACAAAGAAAGUAAAUGAUCCAAAUUUCAGUCAGCUGUUGUUUUGCUUGGUAAGGUAAGGUAACUUUAUUGUCAAAUAUGCUACAGUACGAGACAUAUAGCAUGGAUGAAAUAUCUGGUAAAGUAGCAUGUACAUUUUAAAUUUAUGUGGAACCUGGAAGGAACAAGGACCUUGAAAACUGUCCCAUCUUCUGAGCUGGGUUUGUGGAGGGAGUACAUUAGUAGAUGUUUGAGCUCAGCUUCAGCAUCUGGUGACACCAUGCUCUGAAGGUCUCUUCCAUCGGUGUCCUGCACAUAAUGGAAGUUGAGUUCAAUAGUGAUAGUGAUGAGUACGAAUAAAUAAAAUCUGUAUAGGACAGCAAUACUUAACCUAAAGCAAGUCAUGUCACGAUGACAGUGCUUGAAUGAUGGAGAACAUUUAAUAACAAAAACAGAACAAUGCUAGAAAAUGCUAUGUCUACAUACAUCAGGAGCAGCAGUGGAUGAGGAGGGGCCAGUGUUAGGUGGAGAAGAUGCAGCAGCAGCAGGUGAGGCAGAGGAAGGUCCAUCCUCCUCCUCAUCAUCACCAACAUCAUGAGUGGAUCCAUCCUCCUCCUCUCACAUAGCGUGAUUACAUUAUUGUACUAGCUAUACUGAAAAAAGCAAUACAGAAAGCUACAUACGUUUUUAUAUUUAUAUAUUUAGCUAGUAUUCAGAAUGUCACCACUAAAUGAACGUACAAACCGACCUGCUACCUUGCUGCUGCUGCAGCUGCCUCUCCAGUCAUGUUGGCCGAGGUCUCUCUUGGAGAUGAAGGGCUCCAGAAGAGAGAGGACGGUGAAGAACGCUCACUUCACGGCACUACAGUAGAUGCCACUGACCACUCCGCUCCUCGAUCGCCAUCCUCCCCUCAUAUAAACAGAGCCUUCAGGACGUCUCAUCUGAAUUAAAUUAAAUCAGAAACAGUACUGAUUUAUCCCGUCGCCAUACAGAUGUAGUUUCUACAGUCGCAGCAGUACAUUCGCCUCGUAAACUCGGUGGACAUUGCGUUUAGUAAACUUAGGUAAAUAAAGGUGUCAACUCACCAGGAACGCCACCGUUGUGGCGAACUUUCCCUCCGGACAAGAUUCUUCCUAUUUAUGUUCCGGUGGAAAUUAAAAAAUGCAGAAUUUGUGCCACUCACGACAGGACGGCGGAAAGUCUGCAUGUAAACAACUGCAGCCAUUAGCUUCUCCUCCUCCGGGACACAUCACUCGCGGAUCUGGUCUCUGAUUGGUCAACGCGCCGCGACUGGUCGCAGUAGUUCAAUUUUUUGAACUACUGCGACUGUCGCAGUAGUCCAGUCGUGUCGUCUUGAGUAGCCGGAAUCGCCAUAUGUAGCUCAAAUCGCGUAGCGUCGCACACUCCAGUCGUGUCGCGGCUGAUCAUCGUCAAUCGGCCAAAUCAGUCGUGUCGCUUGCGGAAGUCGCGUUCGGUGUGAAAGUACCUUUAGAGAUCAAAUACGGAGAGUAUUGAAAACCUCAUGAAAUAUUCUUGAACAUGGCUCUUGUGGUGUGUCAACAGUCGCGUGUGGGUAGAACAAUGUUUGUCGUAAGUAAUAGGGAGACGUUUGGGUCCCUUCAAAGGAAGUUGAGUUGAGGUUCCACCGAGAUUUGAACUCGGAUCACUGGAUUCAAAGUCCAGAGUGCUGACCAUUACACCAUGGAACCAUGAGGAUUCUGAAACUUUGGAGUGGUUCUUGGACAUUCCUUCAUAAAGCUCUUGCCAGUAGAAAUGCAGCAAGAGGAAACCUCAUGGUCCAAUGCUUUCUCAAACACUCCAAAGGAAACAAAUGAAACUGAACCCAUAGCAUUAGAAUAGAACAUACAAAUGAUCAUAGCAGAGGAUGGUUUCGAUCCAUCGACCUCUGGGUUAUGGGCCCAGCAUGCUUCCGCUGCGCCACUCUGCUUCCAUCAGACAACACUGAGCUAGUAUCCAUGUGGAGGAACACAGCUCUUGUCAUGUAAACUGUUCCUGCCAUUCACUGGCAUCAACAGCACAAACUGGACCUGAAUGAAAGUGGUUGGAAAGACUUCAUUCCCUCAGAUUUAGCCUCAUGCACCAGGCUACACAGAUGUGAUGAAGAGCUGGGUGAAGACACUUUGCAUUGUCAAGAGCAUUUGAAAUGGGACCCACCUCAGUUUUUCCCAAAAAAUCCUGAUCAAAUCAGUGAUUUCCUUCAUGAUGUUUUCUGUCAUCACAUUCAUUGUAUAAACUAUCUCACUCAUGAUAAGUGUGUUAACAAUCACUAUUUUCCCAUCAUCUCUGCACUAAAAUGUGUUCAAUUUCAUUUGUUGACAUUUUGCAUGGUGCUUUUUAUUUUUUUUUUCACAAAAACACAUUGUCAAACUAUUUAUUAGCAACAAUUAAAAAAAAACGUUAUUUCUCUCAGAGAUUAAAGUACAGUGGUACCUCGGUUUUCGAACGUCCCAGACUUCCAACAAAUCGGAGUUUGAACAAAGAUUUCGAGAUUUUUUUACUUGGGAUUUCAAAAAUCCAGAACUCGAACGCCCCCGGAAAAACAUAACGUGCGCGGACCGAUCAGCUGACCCACGACGCGCUUUGUUAUUGUGGAAAUUAGCUCUAUUUACUGACUGUUUUUUCUUCAUAUUGAGGUGUAAAACCUUUCCUGUCUCCACACUGGACCGUGGUAGAGCGUCACAGGGGAGGUGCUCACUCUCCACACCUCUCAGGCUGGAGCACUCACUCCAGGGUUUGAUGUCCUGUUGUCAGCUGGAGCUGGGACAGGGAUGAGGCGAGUCUGGGACAGAGCGUUACUUGGUUUAUGACUUUGUCACAGCCAAACUGCACAGAAGCGCACAUUCAGAGCUGGACACGCACCGGGCACCUCUUCACUUCUGGAGAGACGUCACUCUACAUUCACUCCUACAAAAGCCUAUUUUAAGGCUUGGAACGCAUUAUUUCUUUUUCCAUUCAUUGUGAUGGGAAAAAUCGAUUCGGAUUUCGAACAAAUCGCUUCUCAAAUGGCCGUCUGGAACGGACUGUGGUCUUUGAACUGACUGACCUCGAAUUGCAAUAUUUUGCGUAUAUUUUUUACAUUUGUUUAUUUGUCAUCACCUGUUGAUGUAUGUUCUGUUAUACAUUGAACAUAUUAAUAAACUACUCAGUGGCGAGCUGUCCCAUAGGUAAUAGGUUUAACACUGUUACGUCUCUGCUUGGUGAAAAGGAAAACAAAAGUUUGAGCAAAUGGUUCUUAAAGUAAAGUUGUUUUAGAUGAACAUAACUUAUCAACAAUCACAGAAAUGUAUGUAAAAAUGCAAAUGUCUCAAAUGCAACAGUUUCUGAUACUCACUAAACUGGAUGUUCACUGAAAGGCGUGCAACAACCAAGGUUCCAUGGUGUAAUGGUCAGCACUCUGGACUCUGAAUCCAGUGAUCCGAGUUCAACUCUCGGUGGAACCUGUCUCUUCGGUGUGAAGUGUGUGAGUCAAGUUUUGGAAAGGCAUCAGGAGCCAUUAUUACCUUAAUACCAGAGGUGAUGUACAGUAUACAAGCGAUGAGAACCCACCAGCUUCAGGUAUGGAUUUACAGGUGAUGCAAGAAUAUACGAAAAUUGUAAAUUUAGGGAAGGAAAAUGAAAUAUUCAUUGGUAAUAGGUUUAGCACUGUUACGUCCCUGCUAGGUGAAAAGGAAAAGUUUGAGCAAGUGGUUGUUAAAGUAAAGUUGUUUUAGAUGAACAUAACUUAUCAACAAUCACAGAAAUGCAUGUAAAAGGGCAAAUGUCUCUACACCAGUUUAUAAAACUCACUAAACUGGAUGAUCACUGAAAGAUGUGUACAACCCCAGGUUCCAUGGUGUAAUGGUCAGAACUCUGGACUCUGAAUCCAGUGAUCCGAGUUCAACUCUCGGUGGAACCUGUCUCUUAGGUGUGAAGUUUGUGAGUCAAGUUUUGGAAAGGCAUCGGGAGCCAUUAUUACCUUAAUACCAGAGGUGAUGGACAGUACAUUGGCGAUGAGAACCCACCAACUUCAGGUCGAGAUUUACAGAAGAGAAAUCCAUGAAGGUUAUAGACGUCCUUCAAUGUUGAAAACCUGCCAACCAGUGGCAGAAAUAUCAUCUCUAACAGACGUCUGGACUGCAAACAACUCCUCCAGGAUCUCUGCUAACUGUCAUCGCACCACUUUCAUGGAGUCAGAAGCCUCUUGGUGCCACUGGAAAACAAGGCACGGAAUUGUCCUUGAGCAGAGACAGAGAGACAGUGAACAGCUGGAACAACAUUUGGCUUUGUUGGUGGAACAAGCUUGGACUGAAUGGUGUUGAUGAGGUUGGACAGUGAGAGUGGGACAGAGCUUUGAAAUGACCUGGCAUCUGCUCUGCCAAGUCUAAAAUGCAGGUUCCACCGAGACUUGAACUCAGAUCACUGGAUUCAGAGUCCAGAGUGCUGACCAUUACACCAUGGAACCUCAUAUGUCCCUGACUGAACAUCAAGCAAAUCCAGUUUUAGAAACUUUGUUGUAUAGACCUUUAUUCUAUUUCUGUGAUUAUUUUGAGUGACAUUAAUGUUGAUAAAGUAACUUUAAGCUGGGACGUAACACAGUGUUAAUCCUAUUACCAAUGGAACAGCUCGCCACCUAUUGGUUUUAUUUAUUUCUUUGAUUUGUUUUCAACAGAAAAGUACACACAAACGGGUGAUGAUGAAUAAACAAAUAAAAAUACAGGCACAUUAUGGCAAUAUGAGGUCAGGAGUUCAAAGACAGAGUAUAAAAAUCUGUAAGAGAAACUACAUGAUGACUUAGGGACAUAUAUAUAUAUAUAUAUAUAUAUAUAUAUAUAUAUAUAUAUAUAUAUAGCUUUUACUGAAUAUUUUGACACUGCUUUUGUGCUCUCAAAGUGUCUGUCCAUCAAUUUUAAAAUGUAGCAAAGAGCAACACAGUGAUGUAUUAUCACACUGACCGUUCGGCUCUUAACCGAACAGUUGCUGGUUGGAUCCCACCCAGGGUCUAUGAUGAUCACCCAGACAGCCAUAUGAAGCUCACCUUCAUCGAACUUGAAGAUUCCAUGAGCAUUGGUGCUGUAGACGUUAGCAGAGCUGCCUUCCAAGCAGUUGACAUGGGUUUGAUUCCCAUCCAGUACAAGGCACCUCUGUGUUUGCUGUACAAUCUGGAGUCUUCCCAUCAACCUUUCUCAGACAUGGACUGAUAACAUGAAUAAGAAUAAGAUAAUAUGAACAGGAAUGAACUGUGAUGUUGUUGAAGAUGCAUAGAAACGAAGUGCAAUGGCUGGGAAUCAAACCCAGGUCAAUUGCUUGGAAGGCAGCUUUGCUCGCCACGAUACAACCGUUGGCAAUUCUAUCCAGGAACAAGCAAAAACACUCAAUGCGGCCACAACAACCUGGAGCUGAACGCCCAGAAGACAGUGGAGAUGAUCAUAGACUUCAGGAGAGUAACAGUUUCUCUGUCCCCUCUCAUGUUGGCUGGUUUGCCCAUUCUUAUUGUGGACUCCUUCUGCUUCCUAGGAACCGCCAUCACUGAGGACCUCAAAUGGGAACUGACCAUCAGGUCCCUCAUCAGCAAGGACCAGCAGAGAAUGUUCUUCUUUAGGCAGCUACGAAAACUACGACUGCCGAUGAGGUUGCUGGUGGAGUUCUACACACCAUCAUCCAGUCCAUCUUCACCUCCUCUAUCACCGUCUGGUACAACAGCACCACCUCCAGGUACAAGGGCAGACUGCAGCGCAUUGUGCGUUCUGCUGAGAAGGUGUUCGGUUGCAGACUGCCAACUCUUCAGGACCUGUAUGUCUCCAGGACCCAGAGACGUGCAGGUCGGCUCAGAGCCGACCCUUCUCACCCUGGACAUGGACUGUUUGUUCAGCAGGCAGCAGGCUACAGUCCAUCCUCUUUUAUUCCAAAACAAACUCUUACCUUUGUAGUGAAAAUGAAGGGGAAGGAAUGGUCGCAGACGCCUGCGUCUAGUGACUAUUACAAAGUAAUAAACCUCAAAAAAGGGCACCAGCUAGGAUAAGGAACCAGACUCCGCUCCCCUGGUCUCUUCACCCUCAUCCCUCCAGGGAAGAUCCUUCAGAACACUGUACAUAGUUCACUUCAAGUCUGACCAUGAUUCUGGGUGUAUUGAAUGAGUAUAAAUGUAAGAGUGAAUUAUGUUAUUGUUGCAAAUAAAAAGUUUGUCAAUGUGGUUUUGUGAAAAUGGCUUCACAGAAAAAUAAAAAUAAAAAGUACUAUGCAAAGUUUAUGGUGGAGCAAGAGGAAACCUCAUGGUCCAAUGCUUUCUCAUGAACACUUCAAAGGAAACACAUGAAAUGGAA